rnacentral:rRNA from 1 species
GUUUACGGCCAUACCAGCCUGAAUACGCCCGAUUCGUCUGAUCUCGGAAGCUAAGCAGGGUCGGGCCUGGUUAGUACUUGGAUGGGAGACCGCCUGGGAAUACCAGGUGCUGUAAGCU